rnacentral:rRNA from 1 species
AGGUCAUUGCUAUUGGAGUCCGAUUUAGCCAUGCUAGUUGCACGAGUUCGUACUCGUAGCAGAUAGCUCAGUAACACGUGGCCAAACUACCCUAUGGAUCCGGACAACCUCGGGAAACUGAGGCUAAUCCGGAAUACGGCUCUCAGCCUGGAAGUGGCGAGAGUCAGAAACGCUCCGGCGCCAUAGGAUGUGGCUGCGGCCGAUUAGGUAGACGGUGGGGUAACGGCCCACCGUGCCCAUAAUCGGUACGGGUUGUGAGAGCAAGAGCCCGGAGACGGUAUCUGAGACAAGAUACCGGGCCCUACGGGGCGCAGCAGGCGCGAAACCUUUACACUGCACGAAAGUGCGAUAAGGGGACUCCAAGUGCGAGGGCAUAUAGUCCUCGCUUUUCACCACCGUAAGGAGGUGGUAGAAUAAGUGCUGGGCAAGACCGGUGCCAGCCGCCGCGGUAAUACCGGCAGCACGAGUGAUGACCGCUCUUAUUGGGCCUAAAGCGUCCGUAGCUACUUUCC